GUGCGGCCGCCGGCAGCGGAGCAGAAGCGACUUCCCCAGUUGCUCUAUUUUAAGCUACCCAGUCUUCUAACAGGUUUGGCAGGAACUGAAGCGUGGGCUGAGGAGUGAGGAGGGAUAACACAGUCUCUAGGGCCUUGUUUUGGUAACUGUGCGCUUCCCGAUUGCUCGGUGCGUGCCAGCUCCCACCGUGAGUGCUCCGCAAGUGCCCUUCCACGGAAUCCUCCUCGCAACUCUGGGCGCAGGGAUGAUUAUCCUCAUUUCUUUUCUUUUUUUUUUUUUUUUUUAAACAAGGGGUAAAGUAAAGGUUAAGAGGCGUGGAAGCCUGCCCAAAGUCAGAGGACUAAAUGCAGAAGCGGGGACAGAAAUGAGAUUGGUCUGAUCCCACAAUAAGUCCUUCAGCUUCACAGUCCAGCUGCCUGUGGCCUCUCUCUGCGGGGAAGUAAUUCAAGGAGCAUUUGUUGAGGCCACAACACGCCCAGCCCGGUGCUUUCCGGGGCGCUGUGGAGCGCACAACAGGGACGCACGUGGCCCUGUUAUCCGCGGGUCAGGAGCCUUCAGAAGCAGCACCCAGAUGCACUGUUUGGAUGGACUCCUGCACCACACUCCUUCCCAGCUUGGGGCUGCUGCCCUGACUAGAAUACCCUCCCCCUCCUCCAAGUGGUGAAAUAUAGAUCACUGAAAUAUAGAUCAUUCUCAGCAUCCCACCACCUACAGAUUUAUUUGCUACAUCCUUUCAACUAAUGGAGUGUUUCUCCAAGUGUGGUCACCAGAUCAUCAUCAUCAUCAUCAUCAUCAUCAUCAUCAUCAUCAUCAUCAUCACCAUCACCUGGGAACUUGAUAAACAGGAAAAUUCUGGGGCCUCACUGCAGACCUACUGAAUGAGAUUCUCCAGGGCAGAGCCCAGCCAUCUGAUUUAACAGGAGCUCCCAGGAGUGCUCAAGUGUGAGAAUCACUGCCCAACGCCUGGGGCUCUGACAUCCACGGACCCCUAUUGGUGCAUUCUCUCUCUGGAGGUAGACCUGCUAGUGAAAUGAAAUUUCCCUAAGGUGUUUGGUGGAAUCAAGGAGACUUUGAGGAAUCAAAUGAGGAAUGGCUGAUUUAGCUUGACUCAUCCUUUUCACAGUAGAAAGUCAGUGGAGGAGACUGUGCAGCGUCCACUGGAAAAGACUUUUCCUGUGAGUACUUACUUGGGAGCACACUGUCAAUAUUUGCUGCUGUAUCUCUUCAUUAAUGCCCCAUGGCUUUUAACUAACAUAUCCCUUCUUUACAUAUAUUAAUUCAGUCACAUCACCCACUGGGAGGGUCUAUUUCUCUGUAUUGUAAAUGAAGGAGUUGGCAUUCUGUCCCUCACUGGCAUGAGCUUGGAAGUUAUUUCCUUUUUGUAUUGAUUUAAAGUGUAAU